GUAUGGGCUAGGGCCCGACCGAUAUUGAUUUUUGAGUGCCGAUGCCGAUUAUUUUCAGAGAAAAAUUACGAUUACGAUUUAAUCGGCCGAUUAAAAACAAAACAAAAAAAAGCAUAUAAAACGUAGUUUUUGACACCUUAAAUAUACUUUAAACACUUUUGACGAAUAUGUGAAUUGAAUGCAGAACCUUUGAGUGUUUUAGAAUACAUUUACAGUCAAAAAUGAGUGUAAUGUAAAAUGUAAAAUAAAUAACUAACUCCCAAUGUGCUGCGCUCGUGAGCAGUGACUAACACGUGUGUGCUGAGCAGUUUGGUCUCACCGUUAGAGUCUACAGUAUAACAAAUUAACAUGGCCUGGGACCUAAAGAAAAACAGGCACAACAUGCUCAAACAACGCAUCUUGUGUACAUUGGUGAGGUUGUACGGUAAAAUUCAAUUUCCUCUUUUUUAGUCCAGCUAAAGUUGUUAGUUAGCAAGGCGAGUAGGAGCGCAAUCUGCAGGAUACUAAGCGCAAUAACA